AUUUUACACUGUAUUCUAAUUCAAAUGUCAUACUGAGAUUGGAAUAUUUAUUGGACUGUAAAUGUGGGGUUUGGUAGUGGUAAAGCUUUGGGAAAAAAUGGCUAUUGGGAUAAAACCUCCCUUGUAAUUUGCUAGUAUUACUCCCCGGGACCCUUUGGAGGAUGAGGGCCAUCGAGUCCAGCCCAAGACUGUAUGUCCCGGCACGAUUCACUUAUUCCAUGAGGCAAGUCAAUGGUGCAAUUGGAAUAGCUUCUCAUUAUUUCCUAGGUUUUAGUUGUGGAGGGAAAAUGUCGGGAGAUGUGUGGUUAUUUGUUACAUUCACAGCAUGUGAAGGUGAUGAGGCUCGCAUGCUAUUUUGGCCUUUCCUUAGGCCUGAGAGGGUGUAUCUUCAAGGAAGAGGAGCGCCACUCUGUUAUCGUUUUUAACCAGUUUUAUUACUUACACAUAAUUUCAACAUGAAAAAUCCCUCUGUUAUAUUGUAGUAAGUGAACCUAAACGGUAUUUUUAAGGCCUUUUUGGUUUGAGGAAACCUUUUCUAUUUUCACAUAUAACUACCGAAAUGUGACUUUGUUCUCAGUAUAUUUCUGGUUUUUAGAGAUUGUUAAAAUAAACAGUGAAAAAUAAACUAUCAUUUUCAUAACUUACUAACAAAUAUUUUUAAAGAGGAAAUAGAAUGAAACUGAUUUGACAUUUUUGUAAUUAUUUGUGCAAAGACAACUGAAAAAAAAAAAUUCUUAAACUGAAAUUGCCCUUAAUUUCUCGGAUAGAAAAUGUCCUCAAUUUGCUAUCUUUGCUAGUGCCUUGAAUAAUUGUUCACUUUGUUUCCAAGGCUUCACUUUUACUUCUUAUUAAGCAUUCAGUUAAUGUUAUAGUGGAUCAUUUCGAUAUAGCAAAUUGUGAUUUUCUUGUCUAUUUGUCUAUUUUACUGUUCGAACUGUCUACAUUUUGUUUGUAUUAUUGCAUCCGUCAUAUCGUUUAUGUCUCCAUUUUCUGCUUCUGGUUUAAAAAUUGUCUUUUGGGCUUACCUUCUGUAUUUACGACUUAGGUUUUCUACACCCAGGAAAGAUUGAUGUGGACUCCCCACUCUCACUGAUGGCUUUGCAAAAUCUUAAAUUAGAAAGGUUGAAUUUGGAGCAUACGCAAGUUAGGGAUGAAGCUUUAUACCCCUUGUCAAGCUUCUUAGAGCUGAAAUAUUUAUCACUUAAAAGUGCUUCUCUUGCAGACGUCUCGCUUUACUAUUUAUCGUCAAUUCCAAAAUUGACAAAUCUUAGUGUUUGUGAUGCGGUAUUGACAAAUUAUGGGAUUGAUAUAUUUAAGGCUCCUGAAACUCUGAAACUGCUGGACCUCAGAGGUUGUUGGCUCUUAACAGAAGACAUUAUCUUGUCAUUCUGUAGACGUCAUCCACAAGUUGAAGUCAUACAUGAACUUGGUACAGUAUAUCCUUUUAAUAAAAAUGGUCCUCAUCAUUCCUCUCCAUCUCGAUCAACUUCUAGGACUUUGCAAAUGGCUAAGAAGAAAGAUCAAGCUCCGGUAUUACCGUAUCUUGCAGAUCAAAGAUUAAAGUAUAGCAGGGAUGAGUUACUUGCAUUGCAGUUUGCGUCCUUGCCUCCUGCAUCUAGUAGUGAGAGUAGCAAUUCAACAUUUGAGAAACAAUUGGACUGAAUGGUGAAAUCUCCCUUUAUAUAAUUGUUUGCACUGAUGGCAUUGGCGAGGGUAUGUGAUAUGAACAGAGAGGAUUAAUAGCCCGAGUCCGAUGUAGUUCAUUUGUUCAUAAUUCGAAUGCACAUGGUCAAAGAAGAAUCAUGUUUCUGUUAGAGAAAUCGAAUGUGAUGGUGAGCCUUGGUUCCAACUUACCAUGGCUUACAUGUAGAUAUGCAACGUGGAUUAAGAAAGGUUUAGUGAUAUUAUUGUGUGUUUUGGCUGACACGUGCCUUUUGUAUUGGGGUGCAGAGUGGACACAUGGGAUGUUGUGAAGGAUUGCUUCUACUUAGUAGUUUCUGCAGGCUCUCCCAAGUAUAGAAGAUUGCAGUCAUCAGGAUGGUGUUGCUUCAGACAAAUCGUUAACUACGCACUAGAUCACUCCAUGACACUUUGUGAUGGUUUGUACUAAUUAUGAUAAAUCUGAAGGGUGGACAAUUUCAAGGUGUCUUGCUCGUGUUUUUAUUUGAUUUCUCAUAUAAAUAUGUAGAAGCAGCCUGUUCCCUCGGUGUCAAUUGUUCCUAUAUAGGGUACUCGGGUAGGAGAAGUACUACACUAUGGGAGUUAGUUAAAUGAGAAGGAACACUAUAUACAGAAAUUGGCACUUAAGUUUGUGUUUUCAUCGUACUCAGCCAAUCACAAUUCACAGUUAUUCGUAAAAUUCUAUGCUUUUAUUAAGCAAUCAGAUCGAGGACAGGCUGGAAUGGCAGCUAAUUGAGGAAGGGAUCAAACGAUGCCAUUGUAAGUUAUACUAACUAUAUCAUUUUCAAUAACUCAAUCGCCUUUUUUAU